rnacentral:rRNA from 1 species
CAGCAGCCGCGGUAAUACGAGGGGGGCAAGCGUUGUUCGGAAUUAUUGGGCGUAAAGGGUGCGUAGGCGGCUUGACAAGUCUUGUGUGAAAUCUAUGGGCUCAACCCAUAGUCUGCACGGGAAACUGUCGGGCUUGAGAACGGGAGAGGUGAGUGGAAUUUCCGGUGUAGCGGUGAAAUGCGUAGAUAUCGGAAGGAACACCUGUGGCGAAAGCGGCUCACUGGACCAUUUCUGACGCUGAUGCACGAAAGCUAGGGGAGCAAACAGGAUUAGAUACCCCAGUAGUCCCUGUCUCUUAUAC